rnacentral:rRNA from 1 species
CCCCUAGAUGUUCUGGGCCGCACGCGCGCUACACUGAACAGUUCAACAAGUCUUAACCUUGGCCGAUAGGUCUGGGUAAUCUUUGAACGCUGUUCGUGAUUGGGAUAGACCUUUGCAAUUAUGGGUCUUCAACGAGGAAUUCCUAGUAAACGCAAGUCAUCAGCUUGCAUUGAUUACGUCCCUGCCUUUUGUACACACCGCCCGUCGCACCUACCGAUUGAAUGGUCCGGUGAAAUCUCGGGACGGCGGCUUGGUCGCUUGCGUCCGACUGCUGAAACUUGAUUAAACCAUAUCAUUUAGAGGAAGGUGAAGUCGUANCA